rnacentral:rRNA from 1 species
GACGAACGCUGGCGGCGUGCUUAACACAUGCAAGUCGAACGGAAAGGCCUCUUUCGGGGGGUACUCGAGUGGCGAACGGGUGAGUAACACGUGAGUAACCUGCCCUUGACUUUGGGAUAACUUCAGGAAACUGGGGCUAAUACCGGAUAGGAGCUCCUGCUGCAUGGUGGGGGUUGGAAAGUUUCGGCGGUUGGGGAUGGACUCGCGGCUUAUCAGCUUGUUGGUGGGGUAGUGGCUUACCAAGGCCUUGACGGGUAGCCGGCCUGAGAGGGUGACCGGCCACAUUGGGACUGAGAUACGGCCCAGACUCCUACGGGAGGCAGCAGUGGGGAAUAUUGCACAAGGGGUGGAAGCCUGAUGCAGCAACGCCGUGGGCGGGAUGACGGCCUUCGGGUUGUAAACCGCUUUCGCUCAUGACGAAGCUUUGUGUGACGGUAGUGGGUAAAGAAGCACCGGCUAACUACGUG